rnacentral:rRNA from 1 species
UUGAUCAUGGCUCAGAACGAACGCUGGCGGCGUGCUUAACACAUGCAAGUCGAACGAGAUUCUUACUUCGGUAAGUUGACAGUGGCAGACGGGUGAGUAACGCGUGGCAACCUACCUUUUACUACGGGACAACAGUUGGAAACGACUGCUAAUACCGUAUACGUCCUCCGGGAGAAAGAUUUAUCGGUGAAAGAUGGGGCCGCGUUAGAUUAGCUUGUUGGUGAGGUAAUGGCUCACCAAGGCGACGAUCUAUAGCUGGUCUGAGAGGAUGAUCAGCCACACUGGGACUGAGACACGGCCCAGACUCCUACGGGAGGCAGCAGUGGGGAAUAUUGGACAAUGGGCGCAAGCCUGAUCCAGCAACGCCGCGUGAAUGAUGAAGGCCUUAGGGUUGUAAAAUUCUUUCGCUAGGGAAGAUAAUGACUGUACCUAGUAAAGAAGCCCCGGCUAACUCCGUGCC